GGUCGAAUGGCCGGGUGGUUAUUGUACUACUCCUAAGUCAAUUAGGUAAUUCAGUAGUCCUCGUGGGUUCAAGUCCCACAUCGAUCA